UAUUGAGCGCUGAGAUUUUAAUUGGAUUUUUUCUUUUGUGAUGUCAUCCAUCAUGGCCACUGUAAAAGACAGAAGUUAAACAACAACAAAUAAAAGGUUGUAGGCUGCCCGAGGCAUGUUUUUACUAAUUUCAGCUUAAUGUGACUGUUCCAUUAAGUUUAAUCAUCUGGUUCACUUUUAACGAUUCACCAUCAAGUAAAAAUUAUCCACUUGCCUCAGAAAGUCACAUCUCACCUGUGGCCGGUUGCAAUGUAAAUGAGGCAGUGACCUGGUUUCCACCAGGCUGAUGAGGACAGUGCCCAAGGGGAUGGCAAGCCACAAAGUGGAAGGAACCCAGGUUCUAGAAUAACCUCAUAUCCGACCAGCCUGUAAUGUGAAAGAGGAAAAAAAGACAUUGCACUUCAA